rnacentral:misc_RNA from 1 species
UGGGCCUUGGUAUGGAAACCCGCUGAGUGAGAACUUUCAAAUUCAGAGAAACCCUGGAAUUAAUAAAAAGGGGCAAUCCUGAGCCAAAUCCUGUUUUCCGAAAACAAAGGUUCAUAAAGUGAAAGGGGGGAUAGGUGCAGAGACUCAAUGGAAGCUGUUCUAACAAAUGGAGUUGGCUGCGGUAGUAGAGAAGUCUUUCCGUCAAAAAUUCAGUAAGUAUUAUAAGUAUUAGAAGUAUUAAGGAUUUUAAAAGUAUUAAGGAUGAAGUGAAAGAUAACCGUAUAUACAUACGUAGUGAAUAGUAUAUUAAAUGAGUAAUGAAUGAUUAAUGACAGCCUGAAUGAAUCUUUGUUUUUUCUAUGAAAAAACAAAGAAUUGGUGUGAAUAGAUUCCACGCCGAAGAAAAAAAUCUAAUAUUCAUUCACUCCACAGUCUGAUAGAUCUUUUCAACAAUUGAUUAAUCGGACGAGAAUAAAGAUAGAGUCCCAUUCUACAUGUCAAUGCUGGCAAAAAUGCAAUUUAUAGUUAAGAAGAAAAUCCGUCGACUUUUAAAAUCGUGAGGGUUCAAGUCCCUCUAUCCCCAAAUAGAUUAUUUGCCAACCCAACUAUUUACCUAUCCCUCUUUUUGUUAUCGGUUUCAAAAUUCCUUAUCUAUUCACACUCUAUUUUCUUAGAAUUAAUCGGGGCGGAAAUGCCCUUUUCUUAUCACAUCUAUAUGAUAUACAUAGAAAUGAACAUCUUUGAGAACGAAAUCCCCAUUUGUUUGAGCACGAAAUCCCCAUUUGAAUGAUUUAGAUUUUCAAUUUAUAUAAUUUAUAAUUAUUCAGACUGAAACUCCCAAAGUACUCUUUUUUAAGAUUAAGACCUAAGCCAAGCAAUUUCAGUACCUAACUAAAACUUGGGAAUUACCUUUCCUUCUUUUAACUUUUAAUUUUUAAUUGACACAGCCUCCGUUUUCGAGUAAAAUGAGGAUGCUACAUUGGGACUGGUCGGGAUAGCUCAGCUGGUAGAGCAGAGGACUGAAAAUCCUCGUGUC